GACGAACCGUCCUAACGUUGUUCGGAAUCACUGGGCUUAAAGGGCGCGUAGGCGGGCGACCAAGUCCGGGGUGAAAUCUUUCGGCUUAACCGGAAAAUAGCCUUGGAUACUGGUUGUCUCGAGGGAGGUAGGGGCCGUUGGAACUUCCGGUGGAGCGGUGAAAUGCGUUGAUAUCGGAAGGAACGCCGGUGGCGAAAGCGAACGGCUGGACCUCUUCUGACGCUGAGGCGCGAAAGCCAGGGGAGCGAACGGG
rnacentral:rRNA from 1 species